UUUUUAUAUGUUUGGAGAAGGAAUUGAAUUUUCAAUUUCCCUCAUUAUCGAUCUCUGCACUUUCCCCUCCCUUAUUUUCAUUUUUUUUCUCUCUAUUGUGUUUCUUCUGACCAAGCUCUUCCUGCUUAUUGAAAAUAAAAGGAAGAAAAGAAAAAAGGAGAGGAAAGCCAACCUCUUGCUCUGUAUCAAGAUGAGUUUAACACGGUCAAGAAUUUGACAAGAAUGGGGAUGUUCAUGCAGCCAAGAACAAUUUCCUUAUGAAAGAUUGAAAAUAGUUGGAGGUUCUUAACAAACAUGGAUAGGCAUCGUGCCUUGGAGGUGGUUUAAUCUUUUAUGAAUACUGAUAAUAUGUUUAUCAAAAAUCAUGAAAUUGCUCCAUCAAAUCUACAUAUUUAUUAUUGAGAUUACUCAAUGUUCUUGGAUGAAAAUUUUAACUCACUAUUCUCAUUGUAAUAAUUUAUGUAUUAACUCCAAUUUUAUUAAUCCACCACAAUGAAAGCAAGAUGC
rnacentral:lncRNA from 1 species